rnacentral:rRNA from 1 species
AGCGAACGCUGGCGGCAGGCUUAACACAUGCAAGUCGAGCGGGCAUAGCAAUAUGUCAGCGGCAGACGGGUGCGUAACGCGUGGGAACGUACCUUUUGGUUCGGAACAACACAGGGAAACUUGUGCUAAUACCGGAUAAGCCCUUACGGGGAAAGAUUUAUCGCCGAAAGAUCGGCCCGCGUCUGAUUAGCUAGUUGGUGAGGUAAUGGCUCACCAAGGCGACGAUCAGUAGCUGGUCUGAGAGGAUGAUCAGCCACAUUGGGACUGAGACACGGCCCAAACUCCUACGGGAGGCAGCAGUGGGGAAUAUUGGACAAUGGGCGCAAGCCUGAUCCAGCCAUGCCGCGUGAGUGAUGAAGGCCCUAGGGUUGUAAAGCUCUUUUGUGCGGGAAGAUAAUGACGGUACCGCAAGAAUAAGCCCCGGCUAACUUCGUG